rnacentral:lncRNA from 1 species
GCAUAACUAACGCCUCUAACGCAUAACUAUCGCAUGACUAACGCCUUUAUAAUCUGAAGGUAUAGCAAGUCCCGUAAGUAUAUGAUACUUAAGGUGUUCCGAGGCCGGCAGACCGUUUGUUUUCAGGUGGUUGUGGUUCCAGGGCUCAAAUCUUGCAUGCAGACGCCGAUUCAUAAGGCGCGAAUGCCGCUGGCGAAAGAAGUACCGUUUAGCCAUCAGAGCAUACUCAUAUACAUUACAACUAUCCGGAGAGGCAUAUGAUCCGCGCUAUUUAUUAGGCUUCGCUCGUCAGUCGUUAAGUUUCAUGAACCGCAUACAGGCCGCCACGGCGACUAGAAACAAACGCAAAGCCCCUUUUUCUACCUUUAAGAGACGUAGCAUUUUAAUUUAUAUAAGUUAAAAAAUUCAGAGAGCUGUCAUGGGCAGAAGCAAGCGCAAGGUCCCUCCAAUUUCAUAGCCCGCUCCUCCGGAACAGGCCGGGGGCGCGGCCGGGGGCAUGGCCGUGGAGAGCGUGUGUCCCAGCCGGCCAUCCCAGUCCUGGUGUUCCGUGGCAAGCGUGCCAGGCGCCCUAUAGACUCGUGGCGCGUUGCGGGUCGGUGUCGGGAUGUCAGAUGACCUCGGGGGGUUAUGUCGCGCAGCGUGCAGGCACCUACGGUCAUGAAGAGUAGCCACAGCAUUAAUGCACAUAGUCUAGAAACCAGCGGCGCUCAAUUUGGCACUUACCAGGCGGUGGUCGCGGGAUGCAUAUGCAUAAUGACGUCGGCCGACCAAAUCAUACAGCUCCCAUUGGUCGAAUAACGCAGGUAAGACGUUCUGCCAUAGGUGUGAGGUUUUAUAAUAAUGAUGGCAGGUCGGCGCGGGUCUGUACAAGCAGGUUUGGACCACUAUGCGAGUGUUCGGAAUUACCCCGGUUUUUUAGGGAGGCAUUUUUGGAUAGGUCUCCGAAGCGAGUGAUAAUACGACUUCCCCUUCUUGUUCUUCUUCUUCUUCCCCUUAAGACGAUGGCCAAACUCACAUACCGCGCCAUGGGAAUUUGACACCUUUUAGUGUACUACAAGGCGGACCUGAUGCGACAAAGCCGACCCUGUAACAAUACGUAACGCGUAUGCUAUCGCCUCACAAGUCCUAGUGUUCGGAAUAUGCCGGGUCCACCUGUAAUUCACGAUCAUAGCACAGGUGUGGAUCGGGUAUCGACUUCCAUGGUUCCAGGUACGGCUUAGAUACUGUUUAGAAAUGCGCGUAAAGAACAUAAGUGCAGUGCAUGCUAAAUGGCUCUCGUUCCUAAGAUAGUGUGUUGGUUUCUAGGGGUUGGACUCCCUUUCCUGCACAUGUGUAUGUCAACAUUUUCCCGCUGUUUCGCAGCCUCUAAAGCCCCCGGUAUUACUGUGGCCUAUGUGCUGGGUUUUCAACAGGUCACGGAUAUGGUUGGUGACUAGAGUGAUGGCCGGCUGUAUGAUAGUCCGGCUACCCAACCGUGUGCACAUGUGCACACAUUUUUGCAAAAGCCGAUUGGGCUUCACUGACUGCUGCUUACUACUCCUUGAUUUCAAAGAGGAAGCUCAGUGCCCCGGGAGAUUGGAGAGCUGAUUCAGGUUUCUGCGUUUUAACGGAACCAGUGAUUUUCCACACCUCAUGUGUCCUAUUGUUCCUGUCAGACGGUGGUUUGAAAGUCCUCUGGCUGCUGGCAUCUUUUUUGUUUCACCUCCUGGCGUCCACAUCAAGCUGCUAACAAGCUUCGUUUUACCCACGUGAUGGGAUGCCGCAGGUUGUUUCGAGUUUGUUGUCCUCCGUGCACCUCGUGGCGUGAAGGCAUUAGCUGAAGACAAUCUGGAGGAAGCUUUGAGGGAUGGCUGCAAGGCAUUGAUGCUGGUGGAGCUGAAGUCUUUUGUAAAUCCCAUAAGUGACAUACGGCAGCCCAUGGCAGUAGCUAUAGAGCUGGCGAUCCAGGACAGCAGGAUCCGGUGACGGUGCUGCUCACAGAAGCUCUGUGGUGGUGUUUAGCCUCUGUG